GAGAAGAAAAACGAGUUGGGACUGGGACAUCGUAUUGCAUUUAGAAUGAAAUCAGAGAUAGAAGCCGUGGAUGAUGGAUAUAAAUGGAGGAAAUAUGGGAAAAAGUCGGUCAAAAACAGCCCCAAUCCGAGGACGCCCCGCCCCAUCAAAGCAAAUUUAAAUCAAAUUGGCUUCAUCAUUAAAGUAGACUGCAACUGUAAGAGGCAACGAUGACUCCACAUACAUACAUGAUACACAGUGUGCUGCUGAGCUAUCAUCAUAUGCCCACAGUUGCACCUACUGUAUGUACGUGUGCUAGAGUAAAAAUGGGACUGUAUUAUUAUGGCAGAUGGAAAAUAAGCUAAAGCCAAGUGGACUGAAAAAGGGAUAGUUGGAUAACAAAUUAGCCGUGUAUGGAUGAAAUUGGAGUUUGUUUGAGGCAUCCAUGACCAAAAAUGAAAGCUAUGAAAAGACUACUCAACAGCUAGCUUUUCUCAAAUUUAAAAUGCCAAGUGCAGGACCACUCAAAAGCAAAUGCUUUACCGCCGCCAUAGUUUUCACAGUUUAAUAUGCUGUAUAUGGGAGGAGUAGCUCUAUAUUAAUGGAAGGGAUCCUUUAUUUAAUAUAUAUAUAAAGGAGCUUUGAGCACAGUUACUUGAGUAGAAUACAUAUAAACUAUCAUUUAAUCAUUAUAAUUUAAUUUAAGUUGAUGGAUAAAAAGCUAUACCAGCCUAUAGGGUAAGAUUUGAUACUUUUUUAUGGGAAACUUUUUAUUUUACAAGCAUGAUAUAAAAUAUUAUCACAUGCCAUCCAUUUAAUCUUUCUUGAGGAAUUUUUUUAAUAUGAUGUGAGAUUCACAAUCAAA